CGUCUCAGUUCAAAUAACCUUAAAAGUGAAACCGCGAAUGGCUCAUUACAACAGCCAUAAUUUACUUGAUUGUGAUAUCCUACGUGGAUAACUGUGGUAAUUCUAGAGCUAAUACAUGCACCAAAGCUCCGAUUUUUGAAGAGCRCAUCUAUUAGACUAAAACCAAUCGAACCUUAACCGGUUCGUGAUUUUGGUGACUCUGAAUAGCUACCGCUGAUCGCAUGGUCUUGUACCGGCGACGUUUCUAUCAAGUGUCUGCCUUAUCAACUUUCGAUGGUAGUUUAUGUGCCUACCAUGGUUGUUACGGGUAACGGAGAAUAAGGGUUCGACUCCGGAGAGGGAGCCUGAGAAAYGGCUACCACAUCCAAGGAAGGCAGCAGGCGCGCAAAUUACCCACUCUCGGCAAGAGGAGGUAGUGACGAAAAAUAACGAGACCGUUCUCAAUGAGACCGGUUAUCGGAAUGGGUACAAUUUAAACCUGUUAACGAGGAUCUAUGAGAGGGCAAGUCUGGUGCCAGCAGCCGCGGUAAUUCCAGCUCUCAAAGUGUAUAUCGUCAUUGCUGCAGUUAAAAAGCUCGUAGUUGGAUCCGAGCUUAAGGAUUUGGUCCACCAUUUUGGUGCUGAACUAAACUCCUUGGCUAAUUGUUAAUUGUGUUGGUUUACCUCUAUGUUACCUUUACCGGUCGCAUAAGGGUGGCUGACAAGUUUACUUUGAAAAAAUUAGAGUGCUUAAAGCGAGCUAUAAAGCUUGAAUAAUGUUGCAUGGAAUAACAGAAUACGAUCUCGAAUCUAUUUUGUUGGUUUUCUGAUUUGAGAUAAUGGUUAAGAGGAACAGACGGGGGCAUUCGUAUCGCUGCGCGAGAGGUGAAAUUCUUGGACCGUAGCGAGACGCCCAACUGCGAAAGCAUUUGCCAAGAAUGUUUUCAUUAAUCAAGAACGAAAGUCAGAGGUUCGAAGGCGAUCAGAUACCGCCCUAGUUCUGACCGUAAACGAUACCAACUAGCGUUCCGCCAGUGGCUAGCACGCCUUGGUUGGCAGCUUCCCGGAAACGAAAGUUUUUCGGUUCUGGGGGAAGUAUAGUUGCAAAGCUGAAACUUAAAGAAAUUGACGGAAGGGCACCACCAGGAGUGGAGCCUGCGGCUUAAUUUGACUCAACACGGGAAAACUUACCCGGCCCGGACACUGUAAGGAUUGACAGAUUGAUAGCUCUUUCUUGAUUCAGUGCUUGGUGGUGCAUGGCCGUUCUUAGUUGGUGGAUUGAUUUGUCUGGUUUAUUCCGAUAACGAGCGAGACUCUAGCUUACUAAAUAGUUCAUGGAUUAUCGUUGUCAAAAACAAACAUGCAUGCCUAUAAAACAUGUAUGUUCGUCCAUGUUAUACUUCUUAGGAGGACAAGCGGUGUUUAGCCGCAUGAAGUUGAGCAAUAACAGGUCUGUGAUGCCCUUAGAUGUCCGGGGCUGCAYGCGCGCUACAAUGCAAGAGGCAGCGUGCUGUAACCAUUUUCGAAAGGGAUUGGUAACCCCUUCAAAAUCUUGCAUAACUGGGACAGGAAAUUGCAAUUAUUUGCCUUGAACGAGGAAUUCCUAGUAAAUGUGAGUCAUCAGCUUACGUUGAUUACGUCCCUGCCCUUUGUACACACCGCCCGUCGCUGCCCGGGACUGAGCCGUUUCGAGAAGAGCGGGGACUGCCGUAUCAAAACAUUUUUGUAACAGAGUUACGGAGUGUCGAGAUUUAUGGUAGAAACCGCUUUUAUCGCAGUGGCUUGAACCGGGCAAAAGUCGUAMCAAGGUUUCC
rnacentral:rRNA from 1 species